rnacentral:lncRNA from 13 species
CAAUGAUCAGCCCUCCCUGUUCACCCUCUCCAAUGUGGGCUAAAUCAGAACCACUGGCAGAAAUGUGGUUCUGAAGCCACCAGUGCGUCAGAGCGUCCAUUCCCAAUGGGGCGCUAUGGUCCCUCAUUGAGAAACACAGAUUUGUUUUCUCAUGAUGUGUAAGGAAAUCUACUCCUGCCGAACCUCUCCAAUAUCUGGGAAGCCACCCAGGCGUGUAGUCUCGACUCCUGAGGAAGAGGGCCACUCUGUGACACAGUCCAUACUCCCCGAAUUAAGUAACCCUUGCAAAGCACCCCCCACCCUUGGGGGGACACGUCUGUUGUGACCACCUUGCGGAACAACACCUGUCAUCCCCGAAAACAUGUCUAGGACAACUGAAUCGACCGGUUUAGGUUCCGAGAUGUAUCCAAGCGCCUGGAUAGCAACCAGCACUGGAAUAGCCGCAUCAAUAAUAGUUUAAUGGGAAUGACCACUAUCAUAGAAGCCAUCAUCCCCCAUUAGGCGUGGGAACUGGCGAAAACGUACUGUGCUCCCCAACCAAAAUUGGGCCAAGCAGCGCUGGAACCCGGAUAACCUCUCCAGAGAUAGAAAAGUGCUGCAAUUUGGGUUAAACAGCUCUUUUUCUUGUUUACAAUAAAACCUAGAGACUGAACAUGGGACACUAGCCUGGAUGUGUGUAACACAGCUUGUUCCCUUGACUCUGCUGCUAUCAGCCAAUCGUCCAGAUAGGCCAACACCCUCAGCCACUGGCCCCUCAUGGGUGCCAGAGCUGUCUUCACCACCUGUGAAAAGACGCAAAGCGAGAGGGACAAGCCGAAUGGGAGGACCAAAGAAUCGUAGGCUGUCGCCUCGUAAUGGAACCUCAGGGACUUUCUUUGAAUGGGGCAUAUGGGCACAUGACAGUGUGCAUCCUUUAGGUUGAUGGUGGUGAAACAAUUGCCAGGACGCAUGAACCGUAACAACCAUCUGUGUGGAGAAGAGACACUUUCUGUCAUGUACUGUCAUGUUGUGUCUUGUCUCUGUCCUUUCCCUUCACCCUGUCUCCCUCUGCUGGUCGUUGUUAGGUUACCUUUUCUCCCCCUCUUUCCCCCAGCUGUGCAUUGUUUCCUCCUAACCACCUCGUCACCCCUUUUCCCACCUGUUACCUUUUCUCCCCCUCUUUCCCCCAGCUGUGCAUUGUUUCCUCCUAACCACCUCGUCACCCCUUUUCCCACCUGUUCCCUUUUUCCCUCUGAUUAGGUCCCUAUAUCUCUCUCUGUUUCUGCUCCUGUCCUUGUCGGAUUCUUGUUUGUUGUGUUUCAUGCCUGAACCAGACUGUCGUCAUGUUUGCUGUAACCUUGUCUUGUCCUGUCGGAAUCUGCCGGUCCGUCUGAGCCUACCUAUGUUUGGUAAUUAAAGAAGCUCUGUUUAAGUUAAUUCGCUUUUGGGUCCUCAUUCACGCACCGUAACACUUUCAUUGCACCCACGUGGCAGACACAACUCUUUGACACCAAUGAACACUGUGGAACUUUGGGUUGAGACAACCAUGUUUAUGCGUCAAGGUUUAGGCUGAAACCCGGUCCACUCUGGGUUUGGG